UACAGAGGUCUCAAGCGUUGUUCGGAUUUACUGGGCGUAAAGGGCGCGUAGGCGGCCACCGCAAGUCGAUUGUGAAAUCUCCGGGCUUAACCCGGAAAGGUCAACCGAUACUGCGGGGCUAGAGUGCAGAAGGGGCAACUGGAAUUCUCGGUGUAGCGGUGAAAUGCGUAGAUAUCGAGAGGAACACCUGCGGCGAAGGCGGGUUGCUGGGCUGACACUGACGCUGAAGUGCGAAAGCUAGGGGAGCGAACGGG
rnacentral:rRNA from 1 species